UCCCUCCUCUCCUCCCCUUCACCCCCGUCCCUCCCUCUCGCCGUAGCCGCCGCCGCCGCCGCCGCCCCGUAUACCACCCCUGCCGCGGCGACGAUGCGCCUCCGCCGCCACCACCCGCGGCGCGGUACUAUCGCCUGCCCCCGCGGGGGUGUGGUGCCUCCGCCUACAGUCACACGACGGACCCUGCGCGGCCCUGUUCCAUAUACCUGCCUGUAUACCGCGUAAGCCGGAGAGGGAUGACGACGGGGCUCCAACCUAACCUAACCUAACCUCCAAGCCCGACGCGACGCGUCGCGACGUAACCUACGCGGGCCGAACCGCGUCGAGGUUGCUUACCCUCGGCGAGUGAGUAACCGUGGGGUUUAACGAGAUGGAGAGAUGAGAGGGGAGAGGGGAUAGGGAGGACGUCGGUGAGUGAGUUAGCGACGGUGACCAGUGGAUUUGAAUUGACGAGAACGGUGUAUGAAGCGCGCGAGAGAGACGCCAAUCGACCACAUCGUUGCCCCAAUGAGCGGUACACUGAGAAAUCUACUUUCAUUUGUCUCAGUUCUACUUUCGGAUCUGUUCGAGUUUAAAUUUUUAUUUAUUCUUAAGCGUCAAAUUGAAUACGUUCAAGAUCACUUCUGAUUUUUACACACAACUUUUUAAUCAAUAGACGGGAAUCAACUUAUUCUAGCAUGGCGUAUUUAUAAAUAUGGAAUUACCUGGGACAUGACGUUAUAACGCCACAACUCGUUCGUGUGAUGCAAUUUAACUACCACGUCAUUACUCCCGAAGUUAAGCCGGUGUAAGUUCGAAAUUACUAGUUAAAUUGCAUAUAUCUAUGCAAGAGCCGAGAGCGCCGUGUAAUCUGCCCAUGUGUUUAUCCAUCGGUAGGUAGUCGUGCAUAUACCGUGCCUCUCUAUCAUCUAGAUGGUCACCAGGACCAUCUUAGCCUAAUUACCUAAUAAUUCGAGGCGGUAACUUCGAGUCCGCCUAAGUGGUUUGCGCCCGUCGCGAGAAGACCGAUAUAUCUAUAACUGCUAAAUUGCAAUUGACGUAUCCUCCGUGAGGGCGCCUAAACCCGAUAAUAACGAGCUUCUCGUUGCUCGUAAUUCAUAGAACGUGUAUAUUUAUUUACGUCGCGGUGAUAUUUUUGCAUUGGCCUGCGGAAACCUUUGAAAUUUACUGCCAGCGUAAAAUACUUUUCCAAUUUUACGAUUUUGACGACAAAAAAGCAUUACAUUUAAAUAGUCCCUAUGAUGCACGUAUGGAUAUACAUUUUAUGUAAUAUUAUUCAAUAUUAAUUCAAUAUUAAAAUAACAUUCCACAUUGCACAUCAGCGUUCGAAGUGCGUGCGCACGGCGUAAGAAGAAAAUACUUUAAAGACAAACAAAGGUAAACAUAAAUAUGGAGAGAAAAGCAAUUUCUUGAAAACACCACUGAUUUAUAUUAUCUCAGCAGACAAACGGAUGCUUUGAUCGAAAGGACGUUCUCAAUCCUCGGCCUGAUAGCGAAUCCUUUUACACGCUGAAGUGCUUCGGUAAGAAGAACGAGGGAUCAAUAGGACGAUCAAUAAAUCCCCGGUUGAUCCGUAAUCCCCCUCCCCUUCUUUCUCCCCGACGUAAAGGGAUACACCCCAUCGAUCGCCUAUUGAUUCGCGGGGACCGCAAACGAGGCGCGCGUUUUUCCCCCUACCAAGUUAUCCUUUCACAUCGCGAGCGCUCCGGGCUGUCAGGUGCCAGGGCCAUUCUUGUCCCGAAAAACGCGAGGAUCGCAAGCUGAUUUUUUCUAUAAACGCGUCCACGUACACGUACACACGGGCUCGAGCGAUCACGCGUGUAGCGCCCACCCGCUUGUCUACGUUAGCGCUUGUUGACUCAAACGCGUGGCAAAUUCGUGGCCCUUUUCAAACGUCUCUCGCUCUCUUCCCGUCCGUCGGCGCGCAUCGACGGGAUUACACCUCACGCAAUAUGUCUCGCGGUAAUUCGCCGCAUUGUUACGUCAAUCCUCCACUCGUCUCCCGGGAUCGCAACCGCGUCCUCGGAGCAGCGCGCGGGCCGGGCCGCCGCGGGCCGGAUUGUCAGGCGACGCGCGGCAACGGAGAAUCGCGUUUGCUUUCUGGGACAAUUUUUUUUUUCCUCGGGAUCGCAACGGCAGCAGCAACAGCGAAUAAAUAUUUACCACAAAAGAAAGAAAAUAAAAAA
rnacentral:lncRNA from 1 species